UACGUAGGGUGCAAGCGUUGUCCGGAAUUAUUGGGCGUAAAGAGCUCGUAGGCGGUUUGUCGCGUCUGCUGUGAAAACUCGGGGCUUAACCCCGGGCCUGCAGUGGGUACGGGCAGACCAGAGUGCGGUAGGGGAGACUGGAAUUCCUGGUGUAGCGGUGAAAUGCGCAGAUAUCAGGAGGAACACCGGUGGCGAAGGCGGGUCUCUGGGCCGUAACUGACGCUGAGGAGCGAAAGCGUGGGGAGCGAACAGG
rnacentral:rRNA from 1 species